rnacentral:rRNA from 1 species
CUGGCUCAGGAUGAACGCUAGCUACAGGCUUAACACAUGCAAGUCAGGGGCAGCAGGAAUCUAGCUUGCUAGAUUUGCUGGCGACCGGCGCACGGGUGAGUAACGCGUAUCCAACCUUCCCCUUAGUAGGGCAUAGCCCGUAGAAAUGCGGAUUAAUACCCUAUGUUAUUCGUCGAGGACAUCUGAAGUGAAUCAAAGGUUUACCGCUAAGGGAUGGGGAUGCGUCUGAUUAGGCAGCAGGCGGGGUAACGGCCCACCUGGCCGACGAUCGGUAGGGGUUCUGAGAGGAAGGUCCCCCACAUUGGAACUGAGACACGGUCCAAACUCCUACGGGAGGCAGCAGUGAGGAAUAUUGGUCAAUGGGCGAGAGCCUGAACCAGCCAAGUAGCGUGCCAGGAUGACGGCCCUAUGGGUUGUAAACUGCUUUUAUGCGGGGAUAAAGUGCGGCACGCGUGCCGUUUUGUAGGUACCGCAUGAAUAAGGACCGGCUAAUUCCGUGCCAGCCGCCGC